UCCCAGGUUCAAACGAUUCUCCUGCCUCAGCCUCCCGCGUAGCUGGGAUUAUAGGCAUGUGCCACCGCGCCCGGCUAAUUUUGUAUUUUUAGUAGAGAUGGGGUUUCACCGUGUUAGCCAGGCUUGUCUCGAUCUCCUGACCUCGUGAUCCUCCCCCCUCGGCCUCCCAAGGUGCUGGGAUUACAGGCAUGAGCCACCACUCCUGGCCACACACAUUCUUUAGAGGGAAAAUAUAUAUAUAUUUUUCAAACUCACUGGUUUCCUGAACUGUCCUGUAUUUGUCUGUUUCUUGUUACACUUAUUUUUGGAAUAGUAUGUAUAACAAGAGUGGUGAGAAAGUUGUUCUUUGGGAAAGAAAAAAAAUUCUAAAUUUCAUAGUCAAAAUCCAACAGAUUUGGGGGAUG
rnacentral:lncRNA from 1 species